CGAGCUGAUUGGGCAAUCGCUGUUCCAUGCCUCAAGUGUGGAAGGGAGGAAAGUCCGGGCUCCAUAGGGUAAGACGCCAGGUAACGCCUGGGCGGCGUGAGCCGACGGAAAGUGCCACAGAAAUGAUACCGCCACCCGGCUUGCCGGAGGUAAGGGUGAAAUGGUGCGGUAAGAGCGCACCGCGUCACUGGCAACAGUUGACGGCACGGCAAACCCCGUCUGGAGCAAAACCAAAUAGGGAUGCAAUGGCGUGACCCGCGCUGCAUCCGGGUAGGUUGCUAGAGGUGCAUGGUGACGUGUAUCCCAGAUGAAUGAUUGUCCACGACAGAACCCGGCUUAUAGAUCAGCUCAUUUC
rnacentral:RNase_P_RNA from 1 species